rnacentral:rRNA from 1 species
GACGAACGCUGGCGGCGUGCUUAACACAUGCAAGUCGAACGAUGAAGCCUAGCUUGCUAGGUGGAUUAGUGGCGAACGGGUGAGUAAUACGUGAGUAACCUACCUUUAACUCUGGGAUAAGCCCGGGAAACUGGGUCUAAUACCGGAUACGACCAAUCUCCGCAUGGGGUGUUGGUGGAAAGCGUUAUGUAGUGGUUAUAGAUGGGCUCACGGCCUAUCAGCUUGUUGGUGAGGUAACGGCUCACCAAGGCGACGACGGGUAGCCGGCCUGAGAGGGUGACCGGCCACACUGGGACUGAGACACGGCCCAGACUCCUACGGGAGGCAGCAGUGGGGAAUAUUGCACAAUGGGCGCAAGCCUGAUGCAGCGACGCCGCGUGAGGGAUGACGGCCUUCGGGUUGUAAACCUCUGUUAGCAGGGAAGAAGAGAGAUUGACGGUACCUGCAGAGAAAGUGCCGGCUAACUACGUG